GAUGAACGCUGGCGGCGUGCUUAAUACAUGCAAGUCGAACGGAAAGGCCCUGCUUUUGUGGGGUGCUUGUGUGGCGAACGGGUGAGUAAAACGCGAGUAACAUGCACUUGACUUUGGGAUAUCUUCACGAAAAAGGGGAUAUUACAGGAUAGAAGCUUCUGCAGCAUGGUGGGGGUUGGUAAGUUUCGGCGGUGGUGGAUGGACUCGCGGCUUACCAGCUUGUUGGGGGGGUUGUGGCUUACCCAGCCUAGGACGGGUACCAGGCCUGAGAGGGUGACCGGCCACAUUGGGACUGAGGUGCGGCCGAGGCUCCUACGGGACGGAGCAGGGCGGAAUAAUGCACGAUGGGCGGAAGCCGAAUGCAGCAACGCCGCGUGCCGGAUGACGGCCUUCGAGUUGUAAACCUCUUUCGCCUGUGAUGAAGCGUUAGUGACGGUACUGGGUAAAGAAGCACCGGCUAACUACGUG
rnacentral:rRNA from 1 species